CGGGAAGAUUCAAAAUCGCGAACUGUUACUGCAUGGAUUACUCUCGGUCUCUUUGUUUGCUCAUCGACAUUACGAGGUCAUGUACACUGUGGUCAACUUUGUGGACGAUGAAGAGGUUUCUGGGUAAAGAUGAUAGAAAUAUAACGAAGUAACAGUGGAAGCUAAAACAUCAGACUGAUCUAGACACUGAAGAAAUUGAUGUCACUGCAAUCUGGCCAAAAUGAUACAACAAUAUUGAACUAGCCUACUGUAAUGAAGCUGCAGAACAACACAGAGACUCUGAGGACAUCAACACAGAAAAUGAAGGCUCCAAAGAGAUGUCUGUCCAGAUGAGGGUGCCUCAACUUUACCUUUGCUGACAACAGUUAACUUAACUCAAACCAUUUAAGGAAAUCGGUUGCCUUAAACCAUUAAGUUUUAAAAAACAUACAUUUGAGUACUGUGAACUUAAGUCUUGUGCAAUUAUGCACUUAUAUUUAGGUAGUGUGAACUUAAAUAUAAGUGCAUAACUGCAUGUGACUCAAUUUUUUUAAGUUCACAGUACUCAAAUCUAUGUGUUUUAAAACUUGAAUGGUUUAAUGCAACCGGUUUUCUUAUAUGUGAGAAAUGACAGUGUUACAGUGAGAAAUGUUUGAUUAAUUCCAAGACAGAGCUCUGCUAUUGAAUCUACACUGCAAAAAAUCACUUUCUAACUUAGGAUUUUUAUCUUGUUUUCAGUAGAAAAACUAAAAAUUCUUAAAUCAAGAUGUAUUUUCUUGAUGAGCAAAAUUACCUUAGAAAAUAUGUGUAGUUUUUAGACAAAAAUAUACAAUUUAAGUAACAGUGCACAGUGGAGUGAGAAAAUUGUGCUUAAAUUAAGUUUUUAUGAAAAAAGAAAACGUAAGAUUUUUUUUCUCACACCAUUGGCAGAUAUUUUUGCUUGUUUUAAGCACAAAUUCACUUAAAGUGUGUGUGUGUGUGUUUAUUUAUUUUGUCUAAAACUAGACUUAUUUUCUUAGGUCAUUUUGUUCAUCAAGAAAAAGCAUUUUAAUUUAAAUAAUAUUUCUACUGAAAACAAGACAAUAAUACUAUGUAAGAGUCAUUUUUUGCAGUGUAGGACUGAUUUCUUAAAGCAAGAUCAAUAUAGUUGUUGUUCAUUUUAUUUAGAUAUUUACUACAUUACAGUGGCAGCUGGUGACUUGUUUUUUGUGAGCACUUGAUGCGAAGUUUGUCACAACAUGUAUACAGCCCGUCAUUUGUGUGGUUCCCAAUUUCAAAAUAUGUGUUCUGCGUGUCGAGUGCGUGUAUGUGCAUCACGUGUUUUGACUAAACACGUGAUGCACAUGGUUUACAUGAAGCAACAAAAACAUUUUAAAAACACAAGCAACACACAUGAGACUCCGAACACUUAUUUUGAAUUUGCAACCGCCACUGCUACAUUACAUUGUACUGCUUUGAAUGUAGUUUUCAUUGUUGCUUUUAUUUUGUUUUAUUUUACUCUAAUAUUGCUUUCUCUGUCUGUAUAUUUAUAAGUUUAAAUAGUAUUGUUUAUGUA